GACGAACGCUGGCGGCGCGCUUAACACAUGCAAGUCGAGCGAUUAAACUUUAACAGAACCCUUCGGGGCGAAGAUAAAGUGGAUUAGCGGCGGACGGGUUAGUAACACGUGAGUAACCUUCCUUAGACAUUGGUAUAGCCUCGGGAAACCGGGAUUAAUACCAAAUAAAAUCAUAAUGACACAUGUCAUAACGAUCAAAACUCCGGUGGUCUAAUAUGGACUCGCGUCCCAUUAGCUAGUUGGUAGAGUAAAAGCAUACCAAGGCGACGAUGGGUAGCCGGGAAGAGAGGGUGAACGGCCACAAUGGAAAUGAGAAACGGUACAAAAUCCUACGGGAGGCAGCAGAGGGGAAUAUUGCAAAAUGGAGGGAACUAUGAUGAAGCGACGACGCGUGAACGAAGAAGGCUUUCGAGACGUAAAGUUCUAUUAUAUGGGAAGAUAAUGACGGUACCAUAAGAAAAAGCCCCGGCUAACUACGUG
rnacentral:rRNA from 1 species